AUACUUAUCUGGCAGGGGAAAUUGUGCGGUCAUGCAGGUGCUUUUCCCAGGUUGAGGCUCAGUUACUGCGUUCUGGCUUUGCUGACCCCUGCGAUUUCCUCAAAUGCGAGGAACUCGACUGCAUAAUUUCUGGUGGGGGCGGACUGCGUUCGUGCUCUCCCUG